ACAAAAUAUAUAUUUUUUAGCCCUCCAAAAUUUCAAAAGGAAGGCAUUCAAAUUAAACCCCACGAUUCCACGAGAUUAACAGUUGUGAGACUGAGAGUUCAUGUAUAUCGCCGAGUUGAAUUCCUCCACUGCAUCAAACACCACACCUCUUAUUCCACCGCUCGUUAUCGGCCCUGCCGCAUCUAAAGCCGACGAGUCUUCCCCCUGCCGCGCCUAAUGCCGAGGCUACUGCUGCCAUCAAUUGUCGCACCAAACUUCUACCAAUUAGGGCUCCGCUGAUUGUUCCACUGCCACCGCCUGCACUGGUUCACUGCUGCCGCCUGCUCCACGCUACUGAUACCAUCAAUAUCUUGCAAACCAGAGAGAAGAAGAACACUGAAACUCAAAAACCCCCAAAAUCAAAAACCCUAAAAUCCAACCUAAUUCAUAAUCAAUGGAGAACCACGAAGAAACAAAUUCAGGUAAGAUGAUGGAUGAGAUCUACGCCAAUAGUGACGAAAAGCAGCGUCACAGACCAAUCACAAGCGCCGAACAACUUGAUUGUGUGAGGACCCUUUCGCUUAGCCGUGACUCUUUCGCCUUCGCCAUCUCCACAUUUCUACGCCAUCGUUGUUUGAGGGCCCUUUCGCUUAGUCGUGCGUCAGGCUCACACAUGCGGGCCUCGAGAAUCUCAUACGCUCUUGGAGAUUACUGAUCUUGGGAUUGGUCUUCUUGCUACCAUGUGUUUGGGUUUGAAAUUCCUCGAUGUAUCUUCCCUGAACGUUAGUUUUGACUUUUGAAUGGAUUGACUUGAUAAACA